GACGAACGCUGGCGGCGUGCUUAACACAUGCCAGUCGAACGGAAAGGCCCUGCUUUUGUGGGGUGCUCGAGUGGCGAACGGGUGAGUAAAACGUGAGUAACCUGCCCUUGACUUUGGGAUAACUUCAGGAAACUGGGGCUAAUACCGGAUAGGAGCUCCUGCUCCAUGGUGGGGGCUGGAAAGUUUCGGCGGUUGGGGUUGGACUCGCGGCUUAUCCGCUUGUUGGUGGGGUAGUGGAUUACCAAGGCCUUGACGGGUAGCCGGCCUGAGAGGGUGACAGGCCACAUUGGGACUGAGAUACCGCCCGGAGUCCUUCGGGCGCCAGCAGUGAGGAAUAUAGCACACUGGGCGGAAGCCUGAAGCAGCCACGCCGCGUGCGGGAUAACGGCCUUCGGGUUAUAAACCGCUUUCGCCUGUGACGCAGCGUGAGUGACGGUACUGGGUAAAGAAGCACCGGCUAACUACGUG
rnacentral:rRNA from 1 species